AAAAAAGCCGUCUCCAUGGAAGCGGCCCUUCCGCUCGGAGCCCGGCGGCCUGGAGGGAGACCCGGCGGGGAUGCGAGGAUUCCGCCCCAGCCCCAGAGGACGCGGCGGAGAGCCUGGAGGAGGCGCUUUGAGAGUCGAGGUCUCCCGCCCGCGCGCCUCCCUGGCGCAGACCUCUUUUAACUUUUUGGCGUGGAGUGCGCGUCCUGACGUGCCCCCUGAGCUACAGCUUACUGAGCUUUACUGGCUUCGCCGGACAGCCGUCCCCAGGUGGAGAGACAGCGCGUCGCGCGCUGCCCGGGCCCCGCAGGGCCUGGCGCCUGGGGCCCUUGCGCCGCUUUGGGGCGAGGGGAUCACACCGCGGGCUCCCGGAGCUUAGCGUCUUCCACGCGGCGCUGUGUGUCAUCCACGCAGUGUGCUCUCGCUGCCGUGUUCAGGUCACUGCGAGGGUGAGCCCCGCUUUAUCUACCCCUUCUGCUGUUGAUGGGCACUCGUCUGGGGCUAGAAGGGAUAAGGUUGCUGUGAGCGUUCUCGUGUGUUUUUGGUGCACGCGCACACACAUUUCUCUGGGGUGCAGACCUGUCUAGUAGUGGAACUGCCGUUUCCCAGCACUUUGGAGCAAAGCCCUGUUGCAGUCUGAAGCGGAAAAGGCAGACGGGCCUUCCAUGUUCGUGAUUCCAGCCAGGCACAGAAGGGAAGGACAGGGACAGCAGCCGCGCGGAGGCGAGGAGGGACACUGGGCGCUGCUGUCCCCUCUCAGGGGCAGCCACUCCUCUUGUGGACGCAGGUGUGGUCACCAGAAGGGAAGGACAGCAGAGGACUCUUCAGGGACCUUCCUGGAUCCCCCUGCAAUGGGAGUGGCCUACUUGCUUGACUUGAGGGUGAGACUUGGUCAGCCCUUGACUGUAGGGGGCAGGACCAUGGGCUUCAGUGGGGCAGCACCCAUGACCCACGCCUCUGCUUCCAUUCCCUGCUUACUGCCCGGGCCUCUGGGCAGGGGAGUCUAGUCUCCCUUCCCAGGCUUCCAAUGCCUCGCCCCCUGCUGUGGUAAGGAUUCGCGCUGGUCCCUAUUUAUUAAUCAGGGAACUUGGGGUUCCAGUUUUCUCCCCUUCUCUGCAUCUCAUCCCCUUGAGAGCCCCCUGGAGCAGAGGAUAACGCACGAGGGGACUGGCUGUGUAUAUUUUGAUAACAAUAUCAAAAUACUGUCAAAUACUAAACGGAAAAGAAAUAGGAAAACAUUGAACUUUAUUAAAAUGAACUUCAAAAGACACCAUUAAGAGUAAAAAGAUGACUCACAAAAAAGUUGCCUUUUGUUCAGUAAACGACUCAGGACCAGAAAAUAUGAAGACCCCUACAACAAGAAAAAUAUAGAUAGCUCAGUUAAAAAUUGACAAAAGACUUGAAAAGAUAUUUCACAAAAGGAGAGAUCCAGACAGUCAAUCCACACACGAAAGGGUACUUAGCAUCAGGGAACUGCAAAUAGUGACAUUCGAUUCCAUAUCACAGCCACUGGAUGGCUAAAAUAGCAACGCCAAGUGCUGAUGAGACUGUGGAACAACCAGCUGGGCUCUCAUACCCUGCUGAUGGGAGAGUGGAUUGGAGCAACCACGUGGAAACAUCUAAUGGAGGUUUCAGAGCUGUGGUAGAAACUUCUAGUACUGACAACAGCCAGUACCUCCCCGCUUGGCAGCUGAGACUAUGGGACCAGUUCUGGCCAAUGGAAUGUGAGGGGAAAUGACGGAUGUCAAUUCCAGGCUGAAGCUUUUAGUUGCCAGAGCCAGGUCCUCCAGUCCUACCUUUCCACUGUGGCAGUCCCUCUGAAGUCCCAAGAUCAAGAGCUGACAGCUGAAUCCUUGCAUGGAGAGUCGCCUGGACCUGCAGUGGACUCUGGAUGAGGGAGUAUACACCCCUCUCCUGAGAUGGCAAACAGGAGGUCUGGAUCAAUCCUACAGUGUCGGCAAAUGUCUGGAUUACCCUGCAAGUUCAGACCAGUGAGGAUCCUUCAGCCACUGGGGGAAAGGCUCUGCUGACACAGCAACAGCGAGCAGGGGGCGCCAGCCAGCCAGCUGGCCGUGCAGUGUUCCAGCGGCAGGCGUAGUUUUCUCCCACCUCUCAUGGACAUUGAGUGCACCUUGUGUAUGCUAUGGACAUGCCCAGCCGCUGGAGAUGGGAGGGGAGGGGGUAAGAAGGGAAGCCACUGUGCCGUGACCCUGAGGCCAUUGAGGUGGGGUUUGGUGUCUCACCAAACGGAAGCCACAUUGUUCUGAAUUGCACCUCUGAUGGCUAGGCCAAAUGCUCAUUCUGUUUAACAUCAUUGCUGCAGUCUGUAGCAAAACCCUUAACGUUACAAAGGAAGAGAUAGAGCCACUUCAAACCGUGAAAGGAGAAGAGAUACCACAGUUAAGUCCGCCUGUCUUGGCCAACGGAGUUCAGUCUUUGGGCUUUCCAGCAACAAAAGAUGCCUUCAGUUGCCCCAGGGUUUUACUCCAGUCCCCGGCAACAGCUAGAUCUCCAUGAAGGGAAACAGCCAAUAUUUUUUUUACUUGCAGGAAAGGGAGGCAUGACAGCUCCACAUCUGUGUUCACCCUUGUGGAUCCCAGGUGAGACUCCAGAUGAAAUGGGAGAGUUCUCUGACCCCCUCACAGGACAUGUGACAGGAGUGUGGCUAGUCUGUUCAGCCUCCACCACUGCUGAAACACCUUAUGGGAGGGGGAGCAUGCAGAUGGGCAAGCGCAGGUGCCAGGGCCAGCGCUUUUGGGCUUCAACCCCAUGGUGGCAUCUAGGGGUGUGUGUCUGUGACUCCUGAAGCCCCAGUGUGUGUGCUCCAGUGCUCUUUUAGCUCUGCUGUCUGUCAGGCCUCUGAGCCCAA
rnacentral:lncRNA from 1 species